CAUGUUGAAACAUCAGUUCCCAUAUGAUCACUGAAGUUAAGCAAUGUCGAGCUUGGUCAGUACCUAAAUGGGUGACUGCUUGGGAACACCAGGUGCUGUAAU